rnacentral:rRNA from 1 species
UACGUAGGGGGCUAGCGUUGUCCGGAAUCAUUGGGCGUAAAGAGCGUGUAGGCGGCCCGGUAAGUCCGCUGUGAAAGUCGGGGGCUCAACCCUCGAAUGCCGGUGGAUACUGUCGGGCUAGAGUGCGGAAGAGGCGAGUGGAAUUCCUGGGUGUAGCGGUGAAAUGCGCAGAUAUCAGGAGGAACACCCGUGGCGAAGGCGGCUCUCUGGGACGGUACUGACGCUGAGACGCGAAAGCGUGGGGAGCGAACAGG